rnacentral:lncRNA from 1 species
CCACAAGUAUCCCCUGCCUAUAUUUUUUCAGCAACUUGGAAGAAAACCCCAGUAGUAAAAGAACAUGCAGUUAGGUCCCCACAAGCCAUUGCUAGCAGCAACAAGAACAUAGCACUGCUGAUUUAAUUUGUCAACGUGCAGAGAUUAGGGUAUAGGAACCCUUCUUUUCACUGAACCAAACAAAAUUUCUUCCGGCAGACAGACAUGCAUCUACAUAUUCAAAGCUCUCAAC